CAUCCCAGACUAAGAAAUCAUAGUAUCUAUCUGGUUGACGUGGUACUCUAUCGGAUCUCCUUAAAGAUAUUUCUACAAUAAGUUUUAGAUUUGAUCUAAUCAAGUCUGACUCUAUGGGUUUACUAGAUUGUGUCGGUUCUUCUAGCGAUAGAACUUCAUCAAGUUCAAUCUUUGAGGUAUUAGUUCCUUUACCAAAGAACUCUUUUUCUAAAAAGACUGUCCUAUUACUGAUGAACACCUUUUGUUUAUCAGUAAAGUAAAAGUAAUAUCCCUUAGUCUCUUUUGGGUACCCUACAAAUAGAUAAUUAUCUGACCUAGGUCCAAGCUUGUUAGUUUUUAAAUGUUUGACAUUAGUCGGACAUCUCCAAAUCCUAAGGUG
rnacentral:lncRNA from 1 species